rnacentral:rRNA from 1 species
UAGAGAAAUUUAAUACCACAUGUCUUCAGCUACACCAAAUCUCAUCUGAUCCUGGAAGCUAAGCAAGUGUGGGCCUGGUUAGUACUUGGAUAAGAGCUAUUUCUUUAC